UCGGAUGUGGUGCACGGUGCACGCCCGCUGCCCUUGGCGCGGAGAAAACAAUGUGAUACGGGAAGCCUGGGUUCGACUCCCAGCGUCCGAC